GACGAACGCUGGCGGCGUGCCUAAUACAUGCAAGUAGAACGCUGAAGGAGGAGCUUGCUUCUCUGGAUGAGUUGCGAACGGGUGAGUAACGCGUAGGUAACCUGCCUGGUAGCGGGGGAUAACUAUUGGAAACGAUAGCUAAUACCGCAUAAUAGUAGAUGUUGCAUGACAUUUGCUUAAAAGGUGCAAUUGCAUCACUACCAGAUGGACCUGCGUUGUAUUAGCUAGUUGGUGAGGUAACGGCUCACCAAGGCGACGAUACAUAGCCGACCUGAGAGGGUGAUCGGCCACACUGGGACUGAGACACGGCCCAGACUCCUACGGGAGGCAGCAGUAGGGAAUCGUCGGCAAUGGACGGAAGUCUGACCGAGCAACGCCGCGUGAGUGAAGAAGGUUUACGGAUCGUAAAGCUCUGUUGUAAGAGAAGAACGAGUGUGAGAGUGGAAAGUUCACACUGUGACGGUAUCUUACCAGAAAGGGACGGCUAACUACGUG
rnacentral:rRNA from 1 species